rnacentral:rRNA from 1 species
AUUGAACGCUGGCGGCAGGCCUAACACAUGCAAGUCGGACGAGCGGCGGACGGGUGAGUAAUGUAUGGGGAUCUGCCUGAUGGAGGGGGAUAACUACUGGAAACGGUAGCUAAUACCGCAUACCAUCAGAUGAACCACUAUGGGAUUAGCUAGUAGGUGGGGUAAAGGCUCACCUAGCUGACGAUCCCUAGCUGGUAUGAGAGGAUGGACAGACAAACUGGGACUGAGACACGGGCCAGACUCCUACGUGAGGAAGCAGUGGGGAAUAUUGCACAAUGGGCGAAAGCCUGAUGCAGCCAUGCCGCGUGUAUGAAGAAGGCCUUCGGGUUGUAAAGUACUUUCAGUCGGGAGGCGUUACCGACAGAAGAAGCACCGGCUAACUACGUGCCAGCAGCCGCGGUAAUAC